AUUGAACGCUGGCGGCAUGCUUUACACAUGCAAGUCGAACGGCAGCGCGGGCUUCGGCUUGGCGGCGAGUGGCGAACGGGUGAGUAAUGCAUCGGAACGUGCCCAGUAGUGGGGGAUAGCCCGGCGAAAGCUGGAUUAAUACCGCAUACGACCUGAGGGUGAAAGCGGGGGACCGAAAGGCCUCGCGCUAUUGGAGCGGCCGAUGUCGGAUUAGCUAGUUGGUGGGGUAAAGGCUUACCAAGGCGACGACCCGUAGCUGGUCUGAGAGGACGACCAGCCACACUGGAACUAGGACACGGCCCAGACUCCUACGGGAGGCAGCAGUGGGGAAUUUUGGACAAUGGGGGCAACCCUGAUCCAGCCAUGCCGCUUGCGGGAAGAAGGCCUUCGAGUUGUAAACCGCUUUUGUUCGGGAAGAAAUCCUCUGGGCUAAUACCCCGAGGGAAUGACGGUACCGGAAGAAUAAGCACCGGCUAACUACGUG
rnacentral:rRNA from 1 species